rnacentral:tRNA from 1 species
GCGGGUGUAGCUCAGUUGGCUAGAGCGUCGCCUUGCCAUGGCGAAGGUCGAGGGUUCGAGCCCCUUCACCCGCUCCA